rnacentral:lncRNA from 1 species
UGUGAUGAGCCAAAAAAAAUGAUGAUCAUUGAAAUGGAGCAUGAAUAAGCAAGUAGUGAAGAAGAUCAGAACGGAAAAUAGGGUUGGAAAAUAAAUGUGAGUAUUGCAAGGCAGUGGCACUAGCGCCACGUCGAAAAUGGGCACCAUGGCGCACAAAAGAAAUCAAGAUCCAACAGUAGAAUUGGCGCCACGGCGCCCAACAAAGAGGAAGCAGAGUAGUACUACUGGCACCACUGCGCCAGACUUGGGCACUGCGGCGCCGGAUCUCGAAACCCAUAAAACCCAAAAUUUUAAUUAUAUCUCGGCCCAAACAUUGUACCCUAACCGUUGAGGAGUCCUAGAAAAUAUAAAUACCAAGAUGAAGACUAAGAGGAGGGGGUUAGACAGCUGAAGAGGCAAGAGGAAAAGAAGCACCAAUUGAGAGAAGAUUGACUCGAUUUUGGAGAAGAAAUCAAGCAGCAAACUGAGUUUUCAAGCAGUAAACUGAGUUUUUUUCCUAUCUUUCGCUUCUCCAUGCACUCUAGUUUGUAUUUCAUUGCGUUUUCUUCGCCAUCAUGAAUUAAACUUUUGAAUCUAGG